rnacentral:SRP_RNA from 1 species
GCUGGGAAUAUUGGUACAUACCUGUAACUGUGGAGAUUAAGGCUAGUAGAUUGCUUGAGUUCAGAAGUUCUGAAUUGUAGUGAGCUUAACUAAUCAGAUGCCUACACUCAGUCCAGCACAAAUAUGGUGAGCCUCAUGGGAAUGGGGAGGUCACCAGGUUGCUUAAUGAGGGACAAACUGGCCCAGGUCAGAAACAGAAAAGAUGAAAGCUCCUGUGCUCAAUAAUAGUGGGAUCAGGCCCUUGAGUAGCCAUUGCAUCUCCAGCCUGGCCAAGACCGAGUCUCAAUU